rnacentral:rRNA from 1 species
GAGGUUGAUCAUGGCUCAGAUUGAACGCUGGCGGCAGGCCUAACACAUGCAAGUCGAACGGUAACAGGAAGCAGCUUGCUGCUUCGCUGACGAGUGGCGGACGGGUGAGUAAUGUCUGGGAAGCUGCCUGAUGGAGGGGGAUAACUACUGGAAACGGUAGCUAAUACCGCAUAAUGUCGCAAGACCAAAGAGGGGGACCUUCGGGCCUCUUGCCAUCGGAUGUGCCCAGAUGGGAUUAGCUUGUUGGUGGGGUAACGGCUCACCAAGGCGACGAUCCCUAGCUGGUCUGAGAGGAUGACCAGCCACACUGGAACUGAGACACGGUCCAGACUCCUACGGGAGGCAGCAGUGGGGAAUAUUGCACAAUGGGCGCAAGCCUGAUGCAGCCAUGCCGCGUGUAUGAAGAAGGCCUUCGGGUUGUAAAGUACUUUCAGCGGGGAGGAAGGGAGUAAAGUUAAUACCUUUGCUCAUUGACGUUACCCGCAGAAGAAGCACCGGCUAACUCCGUGCCAGCAGCCGCGGUAAUACGGAGGGUGCAAGCGUUAAUCGGAAUUACUGGGCGUAAAGCGCACGCAGGCGGUUUGUUAAGUCAGAUGUGAAAUCCCCGGGCUCAACCUGGGAACUGCAUCUGAUACUGGCAAGCUUGAGUCUCGUAGAGGGGGGUAGAAUUCCAGGUGUAGCGGUGAAAUGCGUAGAGAUCUGGAGGAAUACCGGUGGCGAAGGCGGCCCCCUGGACGAAGACUGACGCUCAGGUGCGAAAGCGUGGGGAGCAAACAGGAUUAGAUACCCUGGUAGUCACGCCGUAAACGAUGUCGACUUGGAGGUUGUGCCCUUGAGGCGUGGCUUCCGGAGCUAACGCGUUAAGUCGACCGCCUGGGGAGUACGGCCGCAAGGUUAAAACUCAAAUGAAUUGACGGGGGCCCGCACAAGCGGUGGAGCAUGUGGUUUAAUUCGAUGCAACGCGAAGAACCUUACCUGGUCUUGACAUCCACGGAAGUUUUCAGAGAUGAGAAUGUGCCUUCGGGAACCGUGAGACAGGUGCUGCAUGGCUGUCGUCAGCUCGUGUUGUGAAAUGUUGGGUUAAGUCCCGCAACGAGCGCAACCCUUAUCCUUUGUUGCCAGCGGUCCGGCCGGGAACUCAAAGGAGACUGCCAGCGAUAAACUGGAGGAAGGUGGGGAUGACGUCAAGUCAUCAUGGCCCUUACGACCAGGGCUACACACGUGCUACAAUGGCGCAUACAAAGAGAAGCGACCUCACGAGAGCAAGCGGACCUCAUAAAGUGCGUCGUAGUCCGGAUUGGAGUCUGCAACUCGACUCCAUGAAGUCGGAAUCGCUAGUAAUCGUGGAUCAGAAUGCCACGGUGAAUACGUUCCCGGGCCUUGUACACACCGCCCGUCACACCAUGGGAGUGGGUUGCAAAAGAAGUAGGUAGCUUAACCUUCGGGAGGGCGCUUACCACUUUGUGAUUCAUGACUGGGGUGAAGUCGUAACAAGGUA